GGUUCGAUGGCGUAGUUGGUUAUCGCAUCUGUCUAACAUUUUAUAACUGUUUGUAUGGUCUACACAGAAGGUCCUCAGUUCGAACCUGGGUCGAAUCA